rnacentral:tRNA from 1 species
UCCUCAGUAGCUCAGUUUGGUAGAGCGCCUGACUGUUAAUCAGGAUGUCGCAGGUUCGAUCCCUGCCUGAGGAGCCA